CUCAUUACAACAGCCAUAGUUUAUUAGAUCUUACUUUCCUACAUGGAUAACUGUGGUAAUUCUAGAGCUAAUACAUGCCUUGAAGCCGAAACCUUACGGAAUCGGCGCAUUUAUUAGAUCAAAACCAAUCGGACUUCGGUCCGUCCUUUGGUGAAUCUGAAUAACUCAGCCGAUCGCAUGGUCCUAGUACCGGCGACGUAUCUUUCAAAUGUCUGCCUUAUCAACUUUCGAUGGUAGUUUAUGCGCCUACCAUGGUUGUAACGGGUAACGGAGAAUAAGGGUUCGAUACCGGAGAGGGAGCCUGAGAAACGGCUACCACAUCCAAGGAAGGCAGCAGGCACGCAAAUUACCCACUCCCGGCACGGUGAGGUAGUGACGAAAAAUAUCGAGAUGAUUCUCUCAGAGGCUCAUCAUCGGAAUGAGUACAAUUUAAAUCCUUUAACGAGGAUCUAUUGGAGGGCAAGUCUGGUGCCAGCAGCCGCGGUAAUUCCAGCUCCAAUAGCGUAUAUUAAAGUUGUUGCGUUUAAAAAGCUCGUAGUUGGAUCUGCGGCCUAGGAUGGCGGUCCCCCGAUGGGUGGUUACUGCUCGUUCCUGGCCUAAUUUCUCCGGUUUUCCCUUGGUGCUCUUAAUUGAGUGUCUUGGGCGGCUGGAAUGUUUACUUUGAAAAAAUUAGAGUGCUUAAAGCAGGCGCACGCCUGAAUAGUGGUGCAUGGAAUAAUGGAAUAGGACCUCGGUUCUAUUUUGUUGGUUUUCGGAGCUCGAGGUAAUGAUUAAGAGGGACAGACGGGGGCAUUCGUAUUGCGACGUUAGAGGUGAAAUUCUUGGAUCGUCGCAAGACGAACUACUGCGAAAGCAUUUGCCA
rnacentral:rRNA from 1 species